rnacentral:rRNA from 1 species
UCCGGUUGAUCCUGCCGGAGGUUACUGCUAUCGGUGUUUGACUAAGCCAUGCGAGUCAAAUGUUCUUCGUGAACAUGGGGCAAUGCUCAGUAACACGUGGAUAACCUGCCCUCAGGUCCGGCAUAAUCUCGGGAAACUGAGGAUAAUUCCGGAUAUCCCUUUUCUGUUGGAAGACUUAAAGGGACAAAGAAUUUCGCCUGAGGAUGGGUCUGCGGCCUAUCAGGUUGUAGGGGGUGUAACGUACCUCCUAGCCGACGACGGGUACGGGUUGUGAGAGCAAGAGCCCGGAGGUGGAUUCUGAGACAUGAAUCCAGGCCCUACGGGGCGCAGCAGGCGCGAAAACUUUACAAUGCAGGAAACUGUGAUAAGGAGACACCGAGUGCUCGCAUCAAAUGCGGGCUGUCCGCUUACUUAAAUCGUAAGCGUUAGCAAGGGCCGGGCAAGACCGGUGCCAGCCGCCGCGGUAAUACCGGUGGCCCGAGUGGUAGCCGCUUUUAUUGGGUCUAAAGGGUCCGUAGCCGGUUCGGUCAGUCCAUUGGGAAAUCCGGAUGCUCAACAUCCGGGCUUCCAGUGGAUACUGCCGAACUUGGGAUCGGGGGAGGUAAGAGGUACUAUAGGGGUAGGAGUGAAAUCUUGUAAUCCCUGUGGGACCACCUGUGGCGAAGGCGUCUUACCAAAACGAGUCCGACGGUGAGGGACGAAAGCUGGGGGGCACGAACCCGGAUUAGAUACCCGGGUAGUCCCAGCCGUAAACGAUGCUCGCUAGGUGUCAGGCAUGGCGUGACUGUGUUUGGUGCCGAAGGGAAGCCGUGAAGCGAGCCACCUGGGAAGUACGGCCGCUAGGCUGAACUUAAAGGGAAUGGGCGGGGGG